GCUGCGAGGUCUGUAGCUCGGAAUAGGGGAUGGCGACAUCCAGACCCGGCCAGCCUUGGGGAAGGGUGCGUCGUGGAGGCAGGACUGGAGGCUGGCGAUACGAGGCGGCAGUGGGGCCUUGACCCAAUGGAUCAUGAGGGCGGAGGGCUUCUGGCGAUUGGUUACCUGGUUCCUGGGAUUCUCUUUAAUUGUUCCUUAUUGCCCAGAGAUAGCUUGUCCCGUGCUGGUCUCCGAGGUUGCAGCUGUUUUCCCAGAUGUGUUCCCUGCGCAGGGUCUGGUAAUCCUUUUUUUAUUGAGAAUUUGAAUGAAUGGUCACUGAGCCUAGGGGCCGAGACAGGGGUGUGAAAUCGUAGAUCUGGUCUCAACCCCUCACGUUCCCUGUCUGAGAGCCCAGACUGCAAGCUGAUGGCUUUCAGCUGCUUCUCUCUCUCAAGUGGGAGGUGAGGUCUUCAGGCUUUAUUUCAAGCUGGGUCAUCUCUUCUUCACAGUUAUUUUCCUUACUUUUCAGCCAAGAUUCACUCUCUACUCCUUCGUCACCCAUCCCAACUUCUCAUCCUGAACCCACCCCUCUUGCCGCCCGCUCAGCUCCGCUGGUUUCCCGGUCAGAAACCUAAAUUGCCUAAAUAGUAGUAAGAAGGGUGCUGCGACCCUGCGAAGUGAGCAGAUAUCAAACAAAGAAUUACUGUGUACAAAGCCAGAACAAAUAUAUCAAAGUAAUCCUGAAGUAUCAGAACAAAAUAAUACGCUGUAACAGAAGGAAAUGAUUUUGAAUAGCCUCUCUCUGUGUUAUCAUAAUAAGCUAAUCCUGGCCCCAAUGGUUCGGGUAGGGACUCUUCCAAUGAGACUGCUGGCCUUGGAUUAUGGAGCGGACAUUGUUUACUGUGAGGAGCUGAUCGACCUCAAGAUGAUUCAGUGCAAGAGAGUUGUCAAUGAGGUGCUCAGCACAGUGGACUUUGUCGCCCCUGAUGAUCGAGUUGUCUUCCGCACCUGUGAAAGAGAGCAGAACAGGGUGGUCUUCCAGAUGGGGACUUCAGACGCAGAGCGAGCCCUUGCUGUGGCCAGGCUUGUAGAAAAUGAUGUGGCUGGCAUUGACGUCAACAUGGGCUGUCCAAAAGAAUAUUCCACCAAGGGGGGAAUGGGAGCUGCUCUGCUGUCAGACCCUGACAAGAUUGAGAAGAUCCUCAGCACUCUUGUUAAAGGGAUACGCAGACCUGUGACCUGCAAGAUUCGCAUCCUGCCGUCGCUAGAAGAUACUCUGAGCCUUGUGAAGCGGAUAGAGAGGACUGGCAUUGCUGCCAUCGCAGUUCAUGGGAGGAAGCGGGAGGAGCGACCUCAGCAUCCUGUCAGCUGUGAAGUCAUCAAAGCCAUUGCUGAUACCCUCUCCAUUCCUGUCAUAGCCAACGGAGGAUCUCAUGACCACAUCCAAUGCUAUUCGGACAUAGAGGACUUUCGACAAGCCACGGCAGCCUCUUCUGUGAUGGUGGCCCGAGCAGCCAUGUGGAACCCAUCUAUAUUCCUCAAGGAGGGUCUGCGGCCCCUGGAGGAGGUCAUGCAGAAAUACAUCAGAUAUGGGGAAGUUAGAGGCUAUUCAAGAUGUGGGAAGGGAAGGUGCCCAUUCUGGUUAGAAGGAAUAGAAGAACCUCAACCCCUUUCCCAGCACUGGACCUGCCAUGCCAGAAUUUGGCGGUGCAGUAUGACAACCACUACACCAACACCAAGUACUGCUUGUGCCAGAUGCUACGAGAACAGCUGGAGUCGCCCCAGGGAAGGUUGCUCCAUGCUGCCCAGUCUUCCCGGGAAAUUUGUGAGGCCUUUGGCCUUGGUGCCUUCUAUGAGGAGACCACACAGGAGCUGGAUGCCCAGCGGGCCAAGCUGUCAGCCAGGACUUCAGAGGGGACAGGGGAGCCAGCUGAAGAUACCUCUGGUGUCAUUAAGAUGGCUGUCAAGUUUGACCGGAGAGCAUACCCAGCCCAGAUCACCCCCAAGAUGUGCCUACUAGAGUGGUGCCGGAGGGAGAAGUUGGCACAGCCUGUGUAUGAAACGGUUCAACGCCCUCUAGAUCGCCUGUUCUCCUCUAUUGUCACCGUUGCUGAACAAAAGUAUCAAUCUACCUUGUGGGACAAGUCCAAGAAACUGGCGGAGCAGGCUGCAGCCAUCGUCUGUCUGCGGAGCCAGGGCCUCCCUGAGGGUCGGCUGGGUGAGGAGAGCCCUUCCUUGCACAAGCGAAAGAGGGAGGCUCCUGACCAAGACCCUGGGGGCCCCAGAGCUCAGGAGCUAGCACAACCUGGGGAGCUGUGCAAGAAGCCCUUUGUGGCCUUAGGAAGUGGUGAAGAGAGCCCUCUGGAAGGCUGGUGACUACUCUUCCUGCCCUAGUCACCCCCUCCAUGGGCCUGGUGCUAAGGUGGCUGUGGAUGCCACAGCAUGAACCAGAUGCUGGUCUUGCCUGGCAGGAGUUAGAUGUCCUGGCAGGGGCCAUCAGCCUAGAGCAUGGACCAGGGGCCACCCAAGGGUGGAUCCUGGCCCCUUUGGUGGAUCUGAGUGACAGGGUCAAAUUCUCUUUGCAAACAGGAGCUUUUCAGGUGGUACCUCCCCAACCUGACAUUGGUACUGUGCAAUAAAGACACCCCCUACCCUCACCCAUGGCUGGCUGCUUCAGCCUUGGGCAUCUUCAUAAA